rnacentral:lncRNA from 1 species
CUCUGCCGGGGUCUGCAGCCCCAGGGAAGGUCGGGACUGCGGAGGCGCCGCUGGCCCGCUGGGAGGGGCAGCCGCCCAAGUCCCCCUCGCCCGGCCCGCGCAGGGCCUCGGGCCUCAUCCAGAGAGGAGCGCCCCAGAUCACGAUCCUCAAGCCCCGCCAGGGCUCCCGCCCCAGGGCAGCGCCCUGGACCUCCGCCCCGCGUCGGCGGUGCGAGACUAAGUUAAAGACGCUCCUAGGAGAAGAAGCAGGAGGUCGACUUCUGGGUCUGAGCGCUGGAUGCGGCGCGGUGGCCACAAGCAGCUCAGGAAACCGGUAAAGAGCCGCUUCCUGCUGCGGCAUGGGGCAAAGCAGUUAAGAGGCGGGAAAAGCUGCUUCCUGCCGCGACAGCGCAGAUCGUGGGGCAAAUUAGUUAAGAGGCGGGAACUGGGUCUAAAAGACGGGCUCCUUCCUUUCGGCAAGGAGAUAAAAUGGGAAAAUGAGACGCGCGGACACCCAAAAGGGUCCUGCUCCAGGAAUUAAAAUGUGAACAUUUGUGUUGUUGGCCCAGGACCGUCUCUCUCAUCUUACCUGACUACUCCACCCGGAACCAGCCUACUCCUGGGCCUCCUCCUGACCUCCUAGCGGCUGCCACCUCCAGAAGUCCUUCCACCCACCCACCCAGCCCACUCUUUCUCCAGCUUGUCUCAACAUCUUGUCUCCUGAGCACCUGUCACCUUGUUCCUGACCCCUCUACUUACCUAGGAGAGCCAGGAGACCAAACAGCAGGGUGACUUAGGCGCCCGAUGCAAGGACCAGCAUGGGCAAGCCAUGGAAGCAGAACUCCAGAGCAUCACCAGUGCCAUGUGGAGGAAAUGUAAUCUGCUCAGAUCCACGUGGUAAACUGAGGCAGCACAGAGCCUUUUUACUCUGGGUUGAAGCCAAAAAGAAGAAAUGGUGUGGGCUGGCGAUUUGGCUCAGUGGUUCCGCCGCCUGCCUCACGAGUGCAAGGUCCCGAGUUUGAUCCUCGGUACCAAAAAAAAGAAGAAGAAAAAGAAGAAAUGGUGAGAGCCAGUCAGGCGGGGAAACAUCCAGAAGCACAGCUGCCAGUGGGCGGCUUCCUGGUGGGGUUUUGCCAGCACCCAGCCCAGCCUGCAGUGGCACCUCAGCCAACUCCUCUGCCACCCACAGGGCCACUGGCACACCCUCCCCCUGGGAGUUCUGGAUCUCAGCCUAGGUGGGGAAGCAGUGGUUGCUUCUUUCUCUCCAUCAACCCUAGAGACAUUGUAAUGGCUGCUCCUUUUAACUCAUUCCUCUAAUCUUCAUUGCCAUUUGCUAGUUAACAAUUCUUUAAACUAGAUUUUUCCUCUUCAAACGGGUGUGUGUCCUGUCUCCUACUGGAUCCUGGCCGAUACACACAUUUGUUCUUUUCCCUUGUCAUUUGAGAACAAAAUCCCUCCAAACAUGGAUAGAGAACCUGGUACUAGGUGGUCACAAAUGUCAUACUUCGACAACACUUACCAUCGCCAGACACUGCUCCAAGACCUUUAUACCUAUUAACUCCAUCCUCACACCAACCCUUGCCACUACUAUGAAGGAAGUAGCAUGAGUGUUCCUUUCACUGAUGAUGAAAUUGUAACACAAGGAAGGGGUAUGAUUCACAAGGAUACCGUAAAGCUCAGAUUCAAAACCAGACCAGGUGGCUGAGAAGUCCAUGCCCUCAUAGUACAUAGAAUGCACUGCUUGUUUUGCCUCCUGUAGAGUGCCCGUCACUGGGAAAUGUUCCUCAGAGGUUACCCUCAAGAGCCCUGACCAGGGCUCACAGAGGCCCCACGCGAUGGUAGCCAAAGGGUCCUUACUUGAAAUAUAGAAAAGAGUAGCUAGAACAAGGGACCACUGGAGAGAUGGAAACUCCAACCCAGGUAUACUGGAGCACCUCAGCCCCUUGAUUCCCUCCUGCAGAGGGCAGGGAUAUUUCACCUGUCGGUGCUGGCAACAACUGGACCAAAAGCUAGUGCCCCAGAUGCAGGAAGGCAGGUCUUAGAGGCUAUGCACAAGGAGAGAGAGUCUUGACAGAAGCAACCAUGGAGUGCUAAAGGUUCAGUAGCCUCGGGUGGUCCCUAGGUCAAAAUCUGAGAGCGAAUAGGAAAGCCAAAAAAAGACAAGCAACUGGAGCAAACCAACCUACAUUCAUGUCUGUGUUCAGCCAACUGGGAGAAUGAGUUUAACAAUUUUCCACAGUCGGUUUGGCCAUUCUUAUGUCUUGGGCUACUUCCUGAUCGGGGCUAUUAGAAAUAACACUGCUAAGACCAAUCUUGAACAAGCCUUUUUGUUUUUAUUUCUCUUGGGUAAAUUCAGGAAUAGAAUUGUUGGAUCAUAAGGUCAGUUUAUGUCGAGUUUCUUUAUAUUUAGCAUUUUUAUGGUGGUAAAUUACACAUAAAAUUUACCACCUUAACCUUUUUUGGUUUUGGUACUGGGGUUAGAACUCGGGACCUUGCACUUGCGAGGCAGGCGCCGGAACCACUGAGCUAAAUCCCCGGCCCUGCCUUAACCAUUUUUAAAGUGUGUGAUUCAGUGACAUUUUAUACAUUCACAAUGUUAUGUAACCAUCACCACUAUUAUUUUAAUUGUGGUAAAAUAUACACAACAUAAAAUCUACCAUUUUAACCAUUUUUAAGUGUACAAUUUAGUGGUAUUAAAUAUAUUUACAUUGUUGUACAGUCAUGAGCACUCCCCAACGGCCCAUUUUCAUUAUCCCCCUCUAAAACUCUGUACUCAUUGAACAAUGACACCCCAUUUCCUCCCUGCUCCAGCCCUAGUAACCACUAUUCUAUGCCCUGUCCCUACAAAUUUGACUAUUUCAGGUGUUCAUGCAGGUGGAAUAAUACAGUGUUUGUCUUAUUUCAUUAUUGUAUUUUAAAGCCAUAUCCAUACUAUAUGCAUGUAUCAAAAUUUCAUUUGUUUAAAGCUGGACAAUAUUCCAUUGUAUGUACACACCAUAUUUGAAUUAUACAUUCAUCUGGCAGUGAACAUUUGGGUUGUUUCCAUCUUUUGUUUCUGUGAAUAAUGCUGCUGUGAACAUUGGGCGUACAAACAUCUGUCUGAGUCUCUGCUUUCAAUUCCUUUGGGCAUCUUUCUCAAAGUGUUCACUCUGUUUAACUUUUUAAUGAAUUCCAUACUGUUUGCUGCAGCAGCUGUACCAUUUAACAUUCUCACUAACAAUGCACAGGGAUUCCAGUUUUCCCACAUCCUCACCAAUACCUGGGACUUACUGUUUUGGUUUUGUUGUUGCUGCUGUUGCUAUUUUUAAUAACACCAUCACAAUGGACAUGAUGUGGUUUGUAGUUUUGAUUUUAAUUUCCCUAAUGAUUAGUCAUUUUGGCAUCUUUUCAAACAUGCCUUUUUUAAAGAAAUAACCAUAGGGGCUGGGGAUUUAGCUCAGUGGUUCUGCCGCCUGCCUCGCAAGAGCAAGGACC